CUUGAAUCCUCUAGAGAACAAAUUCAAUCUGUUCUGGAUUGGUUGUCUCCUCACAGUCCAAACUUCUCACCUGUUGGGAAUUCGCUUGUUAUUCCUGAGUUUUACGAAACUUUGUUGAGAAGCACCCUAUCUAUUGCCAGCUACGAGGCCUGUUCUUUCAUGGGAUGCACUAGCUCAAUCCUAGGGACGCUGACUUCCUUUCAUGGGAUACAUUAGCAUCUAAUUCUGAAGAUGCCACCCCCGGAGCCACCCCCGCCCCUGCGGUGGUCGGCGACGUUCUCGUCGGCUCCUCUAGACGGCAGGACGGACUGGCGCCCCGGAACCCUCUUCCUCGACCAGCCACACAACUUUUUCUUCCUACGGGAUGAUGGAGGGAAGAUCGUAGAGGGAAGACUGCUGCGAAAGAAGGAAUGGAUCUCGCCUGGAACUGAGAUGGUGCUAUUGGACUGCCUCAUUCGCGUUGGCCACCGGCUGUUCCCGGCGCGGCGCAGACUCACCUUGGCGCCGGGGGCCAUUGAUCCUAGCUGUGGUUCGGCGGCAAAGUCGCCUGCUGCGGGAUCACGUUUUGAGCCCCUGGCCAUGGACGAAGUCGCCGAUCUGCCUGAAGCGGAGGGGGUGGCGGUCCAGGCGGCAAAUAUGGUCCUUUCCCAAGCAGAUCUUGAUGAAGAGGGCGGUCCUUGGACCUCCGUGUCUUGCCGGAAGAAAUCAAAAGAGGAGCUAGUGCAGGAAUUUUGGAACGACGUCGGUUUUCCGACGCCGGCGUCGCGAGUAUGGGAACGUCGGGGUUCCGCGUCCCCGGAGACAUCGGCCGGCCAGGAGUGCCUGGGUUCGUCUCAUGAGCCGUCCGCUCGGCCAGAUGGAGCGCCGAAAUCGCCAAAGCCAUCGCCGGCGACACCAAGGCAGCGCCGAGGGGUAUGCAUCAAGCCUUGGAGAGGGCCACUCCCCCGUCCGCGGAUCACGCCGCCGGUGGCGCUGGCCGCAUUCAUGCCGGAUGCGCUGGCCGAUCCGUCAUCUUCGGCGGAGCAAUGUCAAGGCGCCGUAACGCUCGCGGCAGCGCAUGCAUGCAACGAUCAUGCAUCCGGUCAAACAACGCUUCGUCCCAUGGGCCUUUUGCAUGCGGAAGGGCCCAGCAAGGGCCAUGCUGCUCGUUUGGGACGUACUAUCAGAAGGGCCGACGUAUUUCUUCGCCAAACGCAUCUACGCCCUAAUACUGCCUCCGUCUGCGCGUACUCUCGGACUGCGCCGCCAACGUACGCUGCUGCCCUGCGCCGGCCUUCGCCGCAGCUCAUGGCUGGCCGGAACGGCAACGCGCCUAAGGGGCCUCCUCUGGCCGGAGUUGCGACGCCGAACCCCGGGCCACCCGCCGGCUUUGGUGCUGCUGCCGGACCCUUCCGUUUUGGUGCUUCGUCAUCGUCUGCCCAUCCUUCCGGACAGCGGGCUGCUCCGACUGCGCCGGCACCGGUUGUCUUUGGGGCCGGCAACAAGACUGCGCCGGACGCUACUGCUCGCCGCAAUAAGACCAAGCGCAAGGGGGGGCGCCGUGAAGCCGCUACUGCCGGUGCCGUCCCCUCGGCUGCGCGACCUCCACCGAUAUUCCCGCCGCCUGCUACGGUGCCCGCCCCCACCAAGCAUGUUCCUGAGGCUCGAGACACUGCUCCGAUGGUUGUGCCCUCCGCUGAAGCCACUGGACGUGGGCCGAAAGGAAACCGAACUGGUCUUUGGUGUUUCAAAUGUCGUUCAGAUGAUCAUCUUUCCAAGGACUGCACGGCGAUUCAUUUCUGUCAUAUUUGCGACAAUUACAAGCACCCUUUGCAUCGGUGCCAUGUGCUUAAGCAACCGAGGCCUACCGCGUCGCUCGGUGGAUGUGGUUUAGUUAACGCUAUGUUCCUGCAGUUGCCGGACUUGCUAUUCAAGGAGCACCUUGCACCUCCAACCCUGCCGACUGCUUUGGUUACGAUCUCCGGUGGGUCUCUGUCCGCUGCUGUGGUUGAGGUAGAGAUCGCCAAGAUCGCAUCGGUUCAGGCAUCUUGGAAGUGGGAAGCCGUACCCCAUGGAGACAAUGCUUUCUUAGUUUGUUUCCCGUCCGUGGAGGUUUUGAAGCGCGUGUCAGCUUUUGAGUAUAAUGUCAAAUCACAAGACGUGAAGAUUGCUUUUAGUGAAUGGAAAGUUGAAGAGGUUUCAUCGAUUCUCCCUUUGCAACUUGUUUGGGUACAUGUCACCGGUGUCCCACCACCUCUCCGCCAUUUUCUUGGUUUGUGGGCGGUAGGAUCAGUCAUUGGCGCCACGCAAGACGUUGACUUGGUUUGUUUGCGCCGUCAUGGUAUUGUGCGCAUCCAGGUGGCGGUCCACUCUUUGGAUAUUUUCUCCAAAAAAGAUGGUUCUGAUGAAGCCUCGGUCUCCUCGGAUGUCUAUAUAAAGCUUAAUGGGUAUGCAUUUCGGUUUGUACUGGAGGAGGAAGAUUUUGUUCCCGACGUUGAUUUUAUUCCCCGGAUUUGGGAAAACCAUGAUAAUGGACAUGAUGACGGCGCUAACCGAGAUGAGGAUAUGCCUGAUAGGGAUGCUAACAAGAGGUCAAAAUGCAUCCAAGCUGUUGAUCAAAAUUCGGCGUCGGGGUCUCAAGUAAGUGCUGCAGUCCCCAUACAGUCUACACAACAAAUAGUGCAUACUGCUACUCUUGAGUCAUCUGUUGUGAGUAUGCCAGAGAAUAUGGAUACACACAUACACGUACCGGUGGUGCAGGAGUCCAUGGAUGCAUGCAUACCAAUGCAAGACGAGUUGGAGAAGGGCGGGUCCACAAGGUGCACCACUAUGCAUGUAACGGAUGCUGGAAACGACUCGGCUGCUCACGUGAAGGCAACAACAGUUGUUCACGGGCCACCGGCGCAGCCAACCGCGGCAAUUUCUGUCUGUGUUGCUGGGCACGCACAGUCGGCCGUGCAUCUGGCCACGACACCAAACGCACACAGUACUGUGCAUGGUGCUACCCCGGCUUUGACGCCGCUACAGCCAACCUUGACCCCAGCAGCGCAUGCGAUACUUCCUGCUUCGGUUGGCGUGCGGGAAUCCAAGACAUCGCCAAUGAUGGAGUCUCCAGUUCGUGCGGCCGUUGCCAUGGUGCCACUUGGCCCAGCGGCGGAUCGUGCUAGAGGAUCUUCUUCGGCAUCUGAUGCGGGCGUUCGGAUGGGAGCCACGACGCCUCCCUCUUCACCAACCCUUGGGACGCUUCGGACGACGCCUGCUUUGCAGAGGACUACAUCAACUACUCCGUCGAAGACUUUGACGGGGACUACGUCCGGAGGGUUGGCUACACCCCUGCGACGUAGUAACCGUCACUCCCUCAAUGUUGAUGGUUCUUCCUCGACUGAUGAGCACUCUCUUGCGAAGGCAAUGCGUCUCCAGGCUUCGAGGAAUUUGGACCCCAUGACAGGUUAUUUUCCGUUGUACGCACUCGCUUCGUACGUGGUGUACGCUACAACGAGCGGAGUACCAACCGUUGUUCAAGGCGGUGUGUACGCUGUUGGAGCAGGUGGCUACGGAGGUUUUUACCCAACAUGGAUGGCAGCAUAAUCUCCGGCUCGGUCCACCAUCUCUUUCGACAUAGGCAUAGUGUCGGUCUAUAGACUCUACUGUUGCCGAAUUGUCGGUCUUUUAUCUUUCUACUUAUCAGACUACUGGUGUUUGGCUGUGUGCAUCCUAGUUAUGCAGAGGCCGGGUGAUACUCUUAAUGCUUUGUAUCACUUUGAUGCUACAUUUUGAGAUAAUAAAAGCGCCCUUUAUCGAAAAAAAAAUCCCCUUACAGACCCUGUGGGACUUAUCUUUUCUUGACAAGCACCGAACAACUGAUUAUUCUCACAAACUCAGAUGCUGUAUUACAGUUGCUAUUUUACUGCCUUCAAUUGGAUCCCCAACAACAAUUGCUUGAUGCUGCCGCCAGAAGUUUAAGUGCUCACUGGGAAUAUGAAUCGAUUAAGCAAAAUGUGAUGCAAGAGAUAGUUUGUGUGGAUUACCUAAGAGCAAUUUCAUCAUCCCUUCCUGGUAGACAGAUGAAUGGGACAGCAAUUGGUGGCCUUGAACUGAGUAAGGAAGCUAUGCUGAGCCUUGCUGCUGCUGCACAAUGGGAGAAGCAAAGAGAGAUAAACCAAGCAAAGAUAGAUGCAAACUGCAGUAAAAUUCAGGAAGCCCUCAAGUCCUUGAAUGAGUACAAAAGAACAUGCGAGCUGCAUGAAGUGAGCUACUAUGAUUCCUUCAAGCUUCAGCGGGAAGUGCAUGACUUCAAUUCAAAUGUACGGAGGCUGGAACUAGCCGGCCUUUGGGACGAGAUAAUUGAGAUGUUGCGAAGGCGUGAGCUUCCAGACGCGUUCGAAGGGCGAGAAGAGUGGGUGAAUCUGGGAACCUCGUACCGUCGGCUGGUUGAGCCCCUGGACAUUGCAAACUACUACAGGCAUUCCAAGAACGAGGACACCGGCUCCUACCUCUCCAAGGGCAGGCCGAGACGUUACAAGUAUACUCAGAAAUGGCGCGAGCAGUUGCACCGCAUCCCCUUGGGUUCCAGCCUCGAGUCGUGCUUCUGGGCAAUGUCCGAGGAGCUGCAGGCUGAGAUGAUCAACGGCAAAUCAUUCGAGGAUUUGAAAGACAGGGUGGGUAAACUGGAGAGUGAUGCACUUGGAUGGUUCACCUCGGGAAAUCUUGGCAGGGAUGUGUUUCUGAGCAGCUCAUCCUUUGUGAUAUGGUGGAAGACACUCCCGGAGCAGCACAGGUCCGCGUCGUGCAUCGCGAGACUUGUGCCUUCGUAAGAGAAUUUCUCCGUGGCAUGAUGGGGUAACCAUUUCCGAUCUAACCGGAACUGCUGCCACAGGAUAUUGUAAGCCUGAACUAUCAUGUAAAGUCAUUUGUGUGUAGUAUUCUCCGGGAUGAAAACAGACUAUUUAAAAUGCUAAACAGUCGUUGUCCAAUAAAUUGACAGGCCCAUGUUUUA